rnacentral:rRNA from 1 species
UGGGGAAUAUUGCGCAAUGGGGGAAACCCUGACGCAGCGACGCCGUGUGAGGGAAGAAGGCUUUCGGGUCGUAAACCUCUGUCGGGAGGGAAGAACCUCCCAGGACUGAACAAGCCCUGGGACUGACGGUACCUCCAAAGGAAGCACCGGCUAACUCCGUGCCAGCAGCCGCGGUAAUACGGAGGGUGCAAGCGUUAAUCGGAAUCACUGGGCGUAAAGCGCGCGUAGGCCGCCUUCUAAGUCGGACGUGAAAGCCCUCGGCUCAACCGAGGAACUGCGUUCGAAACUGGGAGGCUUGAGUCCUGGAGAGGGUGGCGGAAUUCCGGGUGUAGGAGUGAAAUCCGUAGAUAUCCGGAGGAACACCGGUGGCGAAGGCGGCCACCUGGACAGGUACUGACGC